GGCGCUAUAGUGUAGUGGCUAUCACAACGGAUUCUGAUUGUUCGGGCUGUCCUGAAUGACAUCUUCCGUUAACCCAGGUUCGAACCCUGGUAGCGCCU